rnacentral:rRNA from 1 species
GACAGAGGGUGCAAACGUUGUUCGGAUUUACUGGGCGUAAAGCGCGUGUAGGCGGCCUUGCAAGUUGGAUGUGAAAGCCCACGGCUCAACCGUGGAAGCGCAUCCAAAACUGCAUCGCUCGAGUCUCGGAGAGGAAGGUGGAAUGCUUGGUGUAGAGGUGAAAUUCGUAGAUAUCAAGCAGAACACCUGCGGCGAAGGCGGCCUUCUGGACGAUGACUGACGCUGAGGUGCGAAAGCGUGGGGAGCAAACAGG